UUUCCGUAGGUGAACCUGCGGAGGAUCUUA
rnacentral:rRNA from 1 species